rnacentral:rRNA from 1 species
UACGUAGGGUGCGAGCGUUAAUCGGAAUACUGGGCGUAAAGCGUGCGCAGGCGGUUCGUUAAGUUCGUUGGUGAAAGCCCCGGGCUCAACCUGGGAACUGCAAUGGAAACUGGCGGGCUUGAGUGUGGCAGAGGGGGGUGGAAUUCCGCGUGUAGCAGUGAAAUGCGUAGAUAUGCGGAGGAACACCGAUGGCGAAGGCAAUCCCCGUGGGCCUGCACUGACGCUCAUGCACGGAAAGCGUGGGGAGCAAACAGG